AACGAACGCUGGCGGCAUGCUUAACACAUGCAAGUCGAACGCGCCCUUGGGCUUCGGUCUGGGGGUGAGUGGCGCACGGGUGAGUAGCGCGUGGGAACCUGCCCUGUUGUGGGGGAUAACCGAGGGAAACUUCGGCUAAUACCGCAUACGCCGGUGGUGACACCGGGAAAGAUUUAUCGCAGCAGGAGGGGCCCGCGUCGGAUUAGCUUGUUGGUGGGGUAAUGGCUCACCAAGGCGACGAUCAGUAGCUGGUCUGAGAGGAUGAUCAGCCACAUUGGGACUGAGACACGGCCCAAACACCUACGGGUGGCAG
rnacentral:rRNA from 1 species